GACGAACGCUGGCGGCGUGCUUAACACAUGCAAGUCGAACGGAAAGGCCCUGCUUGCAGGGUACUCGAGUGGCGAACGGGUGAGUAACACGUGGGUGAUCUGCCCUGCACUUCGUGAUAAGCCUGGGAAACUGGGUCUAAUACCGGAUAGGAGCCAUUUUUAGUGUGAUGGUUGGAAAGUUUUUUCGGUGUAGGAUGAGCUCGCGGCCUAUCAGCUUGUUGGUGGGGUAAUGGCCUACCAAGGCGGCGACGGGUAGCCGGCCGGAGAGGGUGGGCGGCCACAUUGGGACUGAGAUACGGCCCAGACUCCUACGGGAGGCAGCAGUGGGGAAUAUUGCACAAUGGGCGCAAGCCUGAUGCAGCGACGCCGCGUGGGGGAUGACGGCCUUCGGGUUGUAAACUCCUUUCGCUAGGGACGAAGCUUUUUGUGACGGUACCUAGAUAAGAAGCACCGGCUAACUACGUG
rnacentral:rRNA from 1 species